UGUGAGAGUGAUGAGUUGCACACUGAUGGAGUCGGUAUCAGAUGAUAAAGACACCAUUCAGUACUACCCUGGUGACAAAAUCAGGUGCACAGGGGCCAUCUGACUCACA
ensembl:snoRNA SNORD67 small nucleolar RNA, C/D box 67